CAGUCGCCGCGGGAAUACGAAGGGUGCAAGCGUUAAUCGGAAUUACUGGGCGUAAAGCGCGCGUAGGUGGUUUGGUAAGAUGGAUGUGAAAUCCCCGGGCUCAACCUGGGAACUGCAUCCAUAACUGCCUGACUAGAGUACGGUAGAGGGUGGUGGAAUUUCCUGUGUAGCGGUGAAAUGCGUAGAUAUAGGAAGGAACACCAGUGGCGAAGGCGACCACCUGGACUGAUACUGACACUGAGGUGCGAAAGCGUGGGGAGCAAACAGGAUUAGAUACCCCCGUAGUCCCUGUCUCUUAUAA
rnacentral:rRNA from 1 species